rnacentral:rRNA from 1 species
UUUGAUCAUGGCUCAGAACGAACGUUGGCGGCGUGGAUUAGGCAUGCAAGUCGGGGGAAUCCCAGCAAUGGGGGAACCGGCGUAAGGGGCAGUAAUGUGUGGGUACCUACCCUAGGGUUCGGAAUAGCCAUCAGAGAUGGUGGGUAAUACCGGAUGAUGUCGUGAGACCAAAGAUUUAUCGCCCCGGGAGGGGCCCACAUGAUAUUAGCUAGUUGGUGAGGUAAUGGCUCACCAAGGCGAAGAUGUCUAGCGGGUGUGAGAGCACGACCCGCGCCACUCGCACUGAGACACUGGCGAGACACCUACGGGUGGCUGCAGUCGAGGAUCUUCGGCAAUGAGCGCAAGCUUGACCGAGCGACGCCGCGUGAGCGAUGAAGGCCUUCGGGUUGUAAAGCUCUUUAGUGGGGGAGAAAAGCCAGCAAUGGUGUGAUCUAUCCCAAAAAUAAGCACGGGCUAAGUUCGUGCCAGCAGCCGCGGUAAGACGAACCGUGCGAACGUUGUUCGGAAUCACUGGGCUUAAAGGGCGCGUAGGCGGGCUGUCAAGUCUGGGGUGAAAUGCCACGGCUCAACCGUGGAACUGCCUUAGAUACUGACGGCCUCGAGGGAGGUAGGGGCGUGCGGAACUGUAGGUGGAGCGGUGAAAUGCGUUGAUAUCUACAGGAACUCCGGUGGCGAAAGCGGCGCGCUGGACCUCUUCUGACGCUGANGCGCGAAAGCUAGGGGAGCANACGGGAUUAGAUACCCCGGUAGUCCUAGCCCUAAACGAUGGGUACUA